rnacentral:rRNA from 1 species
GACGAACGCUGGCGGCGUGCUUAACACAUGCAAGUCGAACGGAAAGGCCCCUUUGGGGGUACUCGAGUGGCGAACGGGUGAGUAACACGUGAGUAACCUGCCCUUGACUUCGGGAUAACUUCAGGAAACUGGGGCUAAUACCGGAUAGGAAUCCUUGCUGCAUGGUGGGGGUUGGAAAGCUUCGGCGGUUUUGGAUGGACUCGCGGCUUAUCAGCUUGUUGGUGGGGUAGUGGCUUACCAAGGCUUUGACGGGUAGCCGGCCUGAGAGGGCGACCGGCCACAUUGGGACUGAGAUACGGCACAGACUGCGACGGGAGGCAGCAGUGGGGAAGAUUGCACAAUGGGCGGAAGACUGAUGCAGCAACGCCGCGUGCGGGAUGACGGCCUUCGGGUUGUAAACCGCUUUCAGCAGGAGCGAAGCUUGUGGUGACGGUACCUGCAGAAGAAGCACCGGCUAACUACGUG